CCUGGCUGCUGUUUCCCACCUGCUGCCUGACAGCCAAUCAGCAGCCAGCAGCGCCGACCAAUCAGAAGCUGGGAACUGGAGACUCCUGACACGUUAGUUUUGUUUUGUCUCUACAUAUUUGAACCAGAGGAACCAGUGGAACCAGAGGAACCAGUGGAACCAGAGGAACCAUCUUGUUCCUGCUGAGUGUUUUUGUUUUCUGUUUGGUGGAAACCCUCAGGAGUCGCUGACCUCCACGGACAGAAGGCUCCGCCUCCAGCCGGUCUCUGACCUCCAGCGCUGGCUGUGGGUCGGUUCUGGAGGACCGGUGGGCGCAGCGGCAUCAUAUCGUGGAGCGGAUCUGGACGAGGUUCUGAAUAAAUGUUUGAUGAAUGGGAA